UCGUUCUUGGUUAUAUUGCUCCACCUGUGCCUAGCCCCUGCGUCCAUUAUCAUCAUACAUUGUUUAGAAGUUUUAAGUCAAAACUGUCGUAUCUACCAGUAGGCUUUCCACUCUUGACUGUGGAUAAUUUUUCGGUUCAUUUUAUAUUAGGUACUUUAACUGGCAUAAAUUUGGUGUAUCGCUUAUCUAGUCUACCUACGAACUCCACCUAAAUAAGUCUUCCUAAGUUCCUACAAAUUUAAUCGCAGUUCUCCAAAAAAUUCAAAUUGGUAUCACAUUAUUCCCCAGAAUAAGCUGAAAAUAACGCAAAUUCAACGCUAGAAUUCAUGCUGAUUAAAUCAAGUUGUCUUAUCUGUUCUUCAAACUGAAUGUUUUUCUGCCAGCUUAUUAAAAAUGUCUGAUAAUUAGUAAAGUAGCAUCCGACUCUUUUCU